UUUAUCCUGAUUUGUUCGUUUCAUCAUUUAUUUUGACCCAACACCAACAAAAAAGGAAUCUCGGGUUUUCAUGUAAAACUUUCAUUCUUACUUCGUUUCGAGUGAAAGUCUGCAUGAAGCAGAGAUCAUCCACCGUAGUGAGCAUGCGGUCAUAAAAAAUAAUGAAACGGCAUGAUUGGGAUAAAU
rnacentral:other from 1 species